AAUUUGCAUGCUUAGAUCGAUUGAUGGUAACACAAGUGAAGCAUGCUUUGCGAGGUUGAAAUAAUCUACUGUAUGACUGACUUCACUUAUGUUGACUUCCGAGGUGCCACAAUAAUUGCUUUCUUUCGACUUGAUCAUGAGAUUGGUACGUAUUGUGGGUAGGUAAAAUUUCAGCACUAUGUAAACAUUCUAGUUGAGACAACCCGUUACAGUCGUUUGCUCAUGUACCUGUACAUCCGGUACACGAAAUUCUGUGCGCGCUACAGUGGCAAUCAUGCAUUUUGGUUACGUUUGUGGGAAAAAGUGGUCACACCCCGCAUAGUGAGAUAUUGACCACAGGAUAUUACUGUCCUGUUCAUCCUAUGACCAUGAACUAUCGAGAGUUACAAAAAUGAGUUUAUUAUGGAACGCCAUUCAGCUAUGGUUGUUCAUAAUCAUACUGCCAUCAUGUUUUGUUGGAAAUUAUGAUGCUUCGGCAAUACUUUUAACUUCGGCUUCAUUACGCGCAGAAGAAUUUGGAAGGCAUAAACGAAAUUUUGUACCAUCAAAGCAAACGCUGCCGGUUGAUUUCUUGGAAGUUCCCAUAACUCCAAGACGAAACAUCACCGCAACAACGCCGGAUCCCAACGUAUCUUUAGCAAUUACUUAUCAGGAUGAACGUCUAAAACCGGGAGCUACCAUUGACAUCGGAAGCCCUAUAAAGAUGAUAAUUAGUCUUGAUAAAAAAAGUGCUGCGAUAUAUGGAAUAAGAGUGCAAAAACUUGUUGCACAAGGAAACAAUGAGCGACGAUAUUCUGAAGCUUUUGUUGACGAGGGAUGCGCGAAAGUGUCGACUAUAUUUCCGGAUAUGACACAAAUUGACCGAAGUACAGUGGAAAACGUAUUCCGAGCUUUUCGCUUUCCGGAUUCUCCCGAUGUCAGAUUUGUGGCAACGGUUCAAGUGUGUCGGCAGCGUUGUCCAAAGAGCAGCUGAUGCAGGCUUGUCGAACCAUCCUGUAGUCGCAAACAUAAGCAAAACAAACUCCACCGUUUCCAACUCGCAUCGGCAUACCAGCCCGCAAUACUACAGCUACGUAGCGCUAACAUCCAACGUAACGGUUCGUGGAUUCGACCCCCAGUUUAUGCUGGGAAAAGAAACUUUGACCGAAAAAGCAAGGAGGAGGUUAUCGUCGAGCGACGCAGUAGAUGGCCCAAAUUUUCCUCCGACGACUUUAAUUAUUUUAUGCUUUCUGCUCCUUUUGAAUAUAAACAUAAAGUGAAUUUUCUGCUAAAGUUAUCUGAAAUGUUGUCGUGUUCGACUUAAAACGUAUUUUCCUUUUGAAAUUUUCCAGAAGUUGCUGCAACAUAAUAACUGCUUGCUUGAUCUUCAUGAAUGAUUGUAUGAAUGAUCUUCGUAUAUAUGGUCAUCUUCGUUCUUCGUAUA